rnacentral:rRNA from 1 species
AUUGAACGCUGGCGGCAGGCCUAACACAUGCAAGUCGAACGAGUGGCGGACGGGUGAGUAAUGUCUGGGAAACUGCCCGAUGUAGGGGGAUAACUACUGGAAACGGUAGCUAAUACCGCAUACCAUCGGAUGUGCCCAGAUGGGAUUAUCUAGUAGGUGGGGUAAGGGCGCACCAAGGCGACGCUCCCUAGCUGGUCUGAGAGGAUGACAAGCCACACUGGAACGGAGACACGGGCCAGACUCCUACGGGAGGCAGCAGGGGGGAAUAUUGGACAAUGGGCGAAAGCCUGAUGGAGCCAUGCCGCGUGUAUGAAGAAGGCCUUCGGGUUGUAAAGGACUUGCAGCGGGGAGGCGGUACCCGCAGAAGAAGCACCGGCUAACGCCGUGCCAGCCGCCGCGGUAAUUC